AAUGCUGGCGGCAGGCCUAACACAUGCAAGUCGAACGGUAACAGGAAGCAGCUUGCUGCUUCGCUGACGAGUGGCGGACGGGUGAGUAAUGUCUGGGAAACUGCCUGAUGAGGGGGAUAACUACUGGAAACGGUAGCUAAUACCGCAUAACGUCGCAAGACCAAAGAGGGGGACCUUCGGGCCUCUUGCCAUCAGAUGUGCCCAGAUGGGAUUAGCUAGUUGGUGGGGUAACGGCUCACCAAGGCGACGAUCCCUAGCUGGUCUGAGAGGAUGACCAGCCACACUGGAACUGAGACACGGUCCAGACUCCUACGGGAGGCAGCAGUGGGGAAUAUUGCACAAUGGGCGCAAGCCUGAUGCAGCCAUGCCGCGUGUAAUGAAGAAGGCCUUCGGGUUGUAAAGUACUUUCAGCGGGGAGGAAGGUGUUGUGGUUAAUAACCGCGGCAAUUGACGUUACCCGCAGAAGAAGCACCGGCUAACUCCGUGCCAGCAGCAGC
rnacentral:rRNA from 1 species